CUGUCACAGAUUUUCUUUGUUAUUUUUGUUUCUUGCUCCUUGCACCCGUAGGGAGAAACGUGUGCCAGGGUGAGGGAAGUGUGAGGUUGCUUUGGCUUUGAUGAACCAGAUGGAAGAUUCCCUUGCAGAAGAUACGAUAGAGGCAUCUGUGAGCUGAGAGAAGGAAUAACUGUUAAGGAAGGAUGUCCACCAUUAUGUGCCAGAAGACAAUUCCAUCAAAGGUCUGAGAAGUGGCUGACAACCCACUCUGGCACAUCAAGUCACUGCAAGACGUGGUACAUCCAAUCAUACCGAGGCCAAACAAGAUUGCCCAGUCGUGGGAGGAGGAUACACAGACAGAAAACAGAGUCAGGCCUAUGCCUGGUUCUCGUUGCCAUGUUGACAACUGGAGGUUCCACCAAAACCGGGAAAGAGAAGAUUUCUUGACAGGAUCGUCCCGGGACACAGGCCAACCGAGAAGGAGGGACAUACUGAGUGAUGUUUUGAAAGACCCCCCCAUGAGUCUUAACUCAGAGCUGCAACUGGCUUGAAGGAGCCCAGGUACGCCCAGAUACCUAGGGCUGAGUCACUAACAGACCAUAAAAGGAAAGGAAUGCAGAACAGACCAGGAGUACCGGAUCUGACUCACAGGCCACCUGGCAGGAAGGGAUAAGCCCCCAUCCCCCGACAUUCAGGACGCCCCAAACCUGCCAAUGUGUGUAGCUAUACCUUAUUACCUCAUCAUGUGAAAUAGCCAAUCAUACGUGAACAUGUCUAUGUGCCUCGUUUGAAUCCACCAAUCCCCGUAACUAUGCAUCUGCUUCUGUACGCCCGCUUCUGCUUCCCCAAACCCUAUAAAAGCCCCAUGCUGGAGCUGCUGGGCGCGCAAGUCCUCCGAAGAGACUGUGUGCCCGCAGGUACCUGUGUUUUCCAAUAAACCCUCUUGCUGAUUGCAUCCGAGUGGCCUCGGCUCGGUCAUUGGGCGCUUGGGUCUCCUCCUGAGGGAAAGGUACUCUCUGGAGGUCUUUCAGUUUUAGUCUUUGGACCCUGACUAGAGAUAGUUUACACCCUAGACAUGCUCUCAUGUCUGGGUUUGAGAUACACAGUCCUCCUGGACUCUGCAGAUACUUUGGAGAAAGAGAAGGAAAAUGAGCUUAAGCUUUUUCAGAGCUCUCCUAGGGACAGAAGAAAGGCAGGAGACAUCCUACCUCUUUGCUAGAUCCUAUUGGAGAAAUGCUUAUUUCUCAUUCUGGGUUCCAUAGGUAGGAUAUCUGGGUCCCUUUGGUGGGACACCAUCUAGUUCUUUCCCUCUAUGUUUAUUGUUUGUCCUGAAAGAAUAAAAAAAUGCAGCUAAGAAGUCAGAAGUUUAAAAAAGCCCCAAAUACCUCAAAUUCCAGACCCUGCCCUCUACCUGUACUAGCUGACGAUAAAGUUAGAUUAAAAUCUUAGAGAAUAAUCUUGAGAAACAGGAAGCUCCUCCCAGGAACUGAUAGGCCAUAAAGUUUAACAAUCUUGAGAAACAGGAAGCUCCUGCUUGUGAUUUUUCAUUAGUAUUCUCGACACUUUCCAAUGACACCAUCCCUGCCCCCUCAGAUUGUGGUUUCUCCCUUUAAAUACCCUUUCUCCCAGCCUUUCAGGGUCGAACUCCACUGCCCCUGCGUGGGAUAUGAGUCUCGACCCCAGUGCACUGGUUCCUAUCAAUAAACCUCAUGUUUAUUACAGCAA